UGAAUACGAGAUGCUACGGCGUCGAAGCAGUCUAUGUCAUACUUCCAAGAAAAGCUUGCACUGUCAUAAACAAAUAAUGCCUGUACCAUAACCGACACAGGUGGGUAGGUAGAGUAUACUAAGGGGCGCGAGAUAACUCUCUCUAAGGAACUCGGCAAAAUGACUCCGUAACUUCGGGAGAAGGAGUGCCUUAUUUAUAAGGUUGCAAUAACAAGAUCCAAGCAACUGUUUACCAAAAACACAGGUCUCCGCUAAGUCGUAAGACGAUGUAUGGGGGCUGACGCCUGCCCAGUGCCAGAAGGUUAAAGAAGUUGGUUAGCAUCCGCGAAGCUGAUAACUGAAGCCCUGGUGAACGGCGGCCGUAACGAUAACGGUCCUAAGGUAGCGAAAUUCCUUGUCGGGUAAGUUCCGACCCGCACGAAAGGCGUAACGAUUUGGAUACUGUCUCGGAGAGGGGCUCGGUGAAAUAGACUUGUCUGUGAAGAUGCGGACUACCUGCACCAGGACAGAAAGACCCUAUGAAGCUUUACUGUAACCUGAAAUUGAAAUUGGACUUUACUUGCGCAGUAUAGGUGGGAGGCGUUGAGAAUAUUCUUGCGGGAUUAUUGGAGCCAUCAGUGAGAUACCACUCUUGUAAUGUUAGAUUUCUAACCUUGUAUCAUUAUCUGGUCAAAGAACAGUUUCAGGCGGGCAGUUUGACUGGGGCGGUCGCCUCCUAAACGGUAACGGAGGCGCACAAAGGUUUCCUCUGAACGGGUAGAAAUCGUAUCUAGAGUGUAAAGGCAUAAGGAAGCUUGACUGUGAGACCUACAAGUCGAGCAGGGACGAAAGUCGGUCUUAGUGAUCUGACGGUGCUGAGUGGAAAGGCCGUCACUCAACGGAUAAAAGUUACUCUAAGGAUAACAGGCUGAUCUCCCCCAAGAGUUCACAUCGACGGGGAGGUUUGGCACCUCGAUGUCGGCUCAUCGCAUCCUGGGGCGGUAGUACGUCCCAAGGGUUGGGCUGUUCGCCCAUGAAAGCGGUACGCGAGCUGGGUUCAGAACGUCGUGAGACAGUUCGGUCCAUAUCCGGUGUAGGCGUUAGAAUAUUGAGAGGAGCUUUCUUUAGUACGAGAGGACCGAGAAGGACAUACCUCUGGUGUACCAGUUAUCGUGCCAACGGUAAACGCUGGGUAGCUAUGUGUGGAGUGGAUAACCGCUGAAAGCAUCUAAGUGGGAAGCCCACCUCAAGAUAAGUA
rnacentral:rRNA from 1 species